rnacentral:lncRNA from 10 species
AUGGUGGCAGAUGCCUGUAAUUCCAGCUACUCAGGAGGCUGAGGCAGGAGAGUCACUUGAACCCGGGAGGCAGAGGUUGCAGUGAGCCAAGAUCGCGCCACUGCACUCCAGCCUGGGUGACAGAGCGAGACUCUGUUUCCAAAAAAAUAAGUAAAAAAGAAAAAAAAGCAACUGAACAAGAUCACUACUCUAAAAUUUAUUUACUGAAUAUUCCAUGAGUGUCCAGGAAGUAACUGAGACUUGUGUAUUUAAUUUGGAAAUGAGACUUCUGAGACAAUCAGAUGCAGACGAAAAAUUAUUUGCUUCACUAUUAUUUACUUACCUGAGUGAAUUGGUCCUUAAUGUUGUAAAUAUUUCAUUUGCUAACUAGCUUUCAAGGUGGCAGAAAAGGUGUUUUACUUGAAGAAUUUGAGGAGAGGGAAGACUUACUGAUUUGCAUUAUCAGUCAGUCCCCAAUUACCUUGGCAUAAUCAGUCCCAUUAUUUAGUGUUACUCAUUUUUAACCAGAACUGUCUGGGUGUAUCAGAGCACAAUUGGGAAGAUGGGCUCUUAAUGUAGUUCAGCCUCCUUUAGGGGCCUAAUGAAGGAAGACUUAUAAAUACUUCUCAAUUAUCCUUCAGAUGAAUUAGCAGCAGUUAGCCCUUGUUCCAGCGCAGUCGAUUCUUCACCAGUUGACUUUUCCAUUCUUCUUGGGAAGCGCGGCUUAAAAAGAAAGUGCUGGAGGUUAUUCCCAGCACUUUCUAUGUUGUAA